rnacentral:rRNA from 1 species
AUACGGAGGGUGCAAGCGUUAUUCGGAAUCACUGGGCGUAAAGGACGCGUAGGCGGGUUGGCAAGUCAGAUGUGAAAUCCUACAGCUUAACUGUAGAACUGCAUUUGAAACUGCUAACCUAGAGUAUGAGAGGGGGAGAUGGAAUUAGUGGUGUAGGGGUAAAAUCCGUAGAUAUCACUAGGAAUACCGAAAGCGAAGGCGAUCUCCUGGAACAUAACUGACGCUAAGGCGUGAAAGCGUGGGGAGCAAACAGGAUUAGAAACCCCAGUAGUCC